rnacentral:lncRNA from 1 species
UUCCUUUAACUCCUCGGGCCUGGGGGGGGGGGGGCUUCUUGCUGUUUUAUACCUUUCCUUUUUUUUCCCUUCUUCUUCCUCCCUUUUUUUCAGACGCAUUUUUUUUCUUUCUUUCCCUUCUUUCCCCCCCUCUCUUUCCCCCCUUUUUCCUUCCGGCUUCGGCAAACGGGAGCGGCGGGGUUCGUGCACUCGGUGCUGCGCUCGCACCCCGCGGCCGCACAGGGGCCGUACCCGGCUGAUCGCGGGGGGGGGUCCGGCAUCCCUUCGCCCCCGCGCCCGCAGCGCCGUGUUCCUCGCGUGAGAGCCUGUGAUCAGCGCCGGCCUCUCUGGGAAGCAACACCAGUCUCGUUCCAGAAGAACAAAAUAACAGCGUGAGGCUGAAACCUGGCACGGACCGGGGGAACGCGGCCAUCUGCCCCGCACCGCACGGAGCCCCGCGGCCGCGGAGCGGGCGGAGGGCGCAGAGCUCCGGUGCUGCCCUCCUCCUCCUCCUCCUCCCCUCCCUUCCUCGCUCCUUUCCCCGCUCCAUCCCUUCUUAGGGAAAAGCGGUUGAAAGGAGAAAGGCAGAGAGCACGAAUGGGUGCCCUCCCCGCGCUGCGUUGCCGGGGGUAUGGCCAGUGUGAUGGAAACAAGGCCUGCCAGCUGGAUACAACUUUCAGAGAGCUGGUGGUGAAGUUCUGCUUUUCCAGCAUAUUGUUCUUUCAAGUCAAGGAAGGUGUGCAUUGAUCAUCACUGAGUCGUCAUUGUCAGACCUUCCAAAGUGAGGAGAAAGCUGUGCAAAAUGAGUGGACAUUAAUCUAGCAACCUGCCUCUCUUUGUGCCUCAGCUCACUGGCAGUAAUGUGAGGUUAAUGAUACACCCUCAUUCCACAGGUUCAUUAUCAGAAAUAAGGUAAUUAACAUCUGUGAAUGGCGCUAAUUUAAGAGUGGAGAAGGCCAAAGAGAAGGCUAUGAGAAAAUUAUUACUUCCA